rnacentral:lncRNA from 1 species
AUUGAAUUACCUGUAUAAAAUGAUAACAAUGUGAUUCACUUUAUAGCCAUAUAUCCUGAGUAAAAUUUCAGAAAUCUUAUUCUUGCUUCUUUCUACUGGAAAUUGCAGCCAAAGGGGAAAAGUCACUUUUGUCCUCACAAGGAAGCAGUAGUAAAUCCAAUGUAUCAAAUGUGCAGUUACAGCCAAUUCAACACAAACGAUGCAAAGAUAAAUUAUGGUUGUUGAAAAAGUUGAACAUGGGACUAAUAAUAAUAGUAAUGCAUUGGUUUUUUAUAACUUUUUUUCUGGACACUCAAAGACACUUCACAAUGCGUUAUUCAUUCACUCCUUACUUGGUGGUAGACUGAUGUAAGCGAGUCAUGGCCCCUCCAGGGAAUGUAGUAGAGAGUGCGCACUCUACUACAUUCCCCGGUGUUCCCAAACUGUCUCCCAUCCAAGUACCAACCAGGCCCCUACCUCGCUUAGCCUCCAACAUAUGACGGGGAUGUGAACUGUGAAACCAUUUUGACCAUCAUAAUUAUAAUGUGUGCAGGGGUUUUCGAAAGGAAGACAGUACAUAUGGUUUUGCAUGCUGCUAAAGAUGAGAUAAGCCUUUAUUGAUUUCACAAAAGGUUUCUUAAAUCAACAUAUUAAAACGGGAGGAUCCUUCUUAUGAUCCAAGAUUUUAUACAUGGCAAAUGGUGGACUGAAAUUCAUGGGAGUGGGAGAAUAAUUGUUCAGUAGGUGGCGAUAUAGUGUUUUUGCGCCGAGCAGUACUAAGCACUAUUAAACUGUAAGAAGAAGCACAAGAACUCAGUAGCCCUUCGCUACCAAUACAAACCUCCAAAAGAAAACAUGGAUCGCUGACUUGAGACGAGAUUUUUUCUUUAUUGUAUUUUAUUAUUUAGAUGUCAUGAAACUAAAGUGACAGUAGCAAACACUGUAGCAUAGCGCAGUAUGUUUUCACUGAACCGGCGGACCCAGUUAGCGCUAUUCGUGCAACGAAGUCUGUUCUGUUGCAGCCACCACUGAAGGUUAGCGUUAUGCAGGAAUGGAUCGUGACACUAGCUGCAAAAAGGAGUCGUGUUAGAGUGUGAGUAAUGUUUUACAAAUAAAAUAUUUUAUCAAUUAAACAAUGAAAUAGCUCAAAAAUUAACUUGUUACUGCCUAGGUGGUGUCGAGGACUGUAGUACCCCCAAACUAGUAAUGGCGAUUAUGUUCAUUUGCAAAUAAAGCUUUAAUUGAUUUCAUUAAAACCAUAUGGUUAUUCUUUUCAACGUUGGCUAAACAUGUCAAUCCAU